GACCUGAGCUCAGUCGAGGUCACCCGCUGAACUUAAGCAAAU
rnacentral:rRNA from 1 species